rnacentral:rRNA from 1 species
GACGAACGCUGGCGGCGUGCUUAACACAUGCAAGUCGAACGAUGAAGAAAAGAAUUGAAGCUUCGGCAGAAAUUCAUUUCGGAUUAGUGGCAGACGGGUGAGUAACGCGUGAGCAACCUACCUCUUACAAAGGGAUAGCCUCGGGAAACCGGGAUUAAUACCAUAUAACAUUGCGACGAAGCAUUUCGAUGCAAUCAAAGCUACGGCGGUAAGAGAUGGGCUCGCGUCCCAUUAACCAGAUGGGGAGGUAACGGCUCACCAUAGUAACGAUGGGUAACCGGCCUGAGAGGGUGAACGGUCACACUGGAACUGAGACACGGUCCAGACUCCUACGGGAGGCAGCAGUGGGGAAUAUUGCACAAUGGAGGGAACUCUGAUGCAGCGACGCCGCGUGAGUGAUGAAGGAAUUCGUUUCGUAAAACUCUGUUCUAUGGGAAGAAAAGGACUGUACCAUAGGAGAAAGCUCCGGCUAAAUACGUG